rnacentral:rRNA from 1 species
AGGAAAAGAAACUAACAAGGAUUCCCCUAGUAACGGCGAGUGAAGUGGGAAAAGCUCAACUUUAAAAUCUGGCAGUUUCACUGUCCGAGUUGUAGUCUCGAGAAGCGUUUUCCGCGUCAAUGCAUGUGUGAGUCUGUUGGAAUACAGCGUCAUAGAGGGUGACAACCCCGUUCAUAACAUGCCUUUUGAUGCUCUGUGAUACGUUUUCGAUGAGUCGAGUUGUUUGGGAAUGCAGCUCAAAGUGGGUGGUAAAUUCCAUCUAAAGCUAAAUAUUGGCGGGAGACCGAUAGCAAACAAGUACCGUGAGGGAAAGAUGAAAAGCACUUUGGAAAGAGAGUUAAAAGUACGUGAAAUUGUCGAAAGGGAAACGCUUGAAGUCGGACGUGCAGGGCAACUUGCAGGCCAACAUCAGUUUCAGUAGUCGGAUAAAGGCGGAAGAAGGUAGCAGCUCCGGCUGUGUUAUAGCUUCCAGCUGAAUACGGAUACAGAGACUGAGGACCGCGCGAAAGCUAGGAUGUUGGUGGAACGGCUUUAAACGACCCGUCU